UCAGAUCUCAAUAUCCCAACAUUGUAUUCUAGGCGCGAACUGUUAUGUUCAAAAUUUUUUAGAAAAAAGGUUCUUCCGCAAACUAGUCCUCUUUCCGAACUAGUUGAACCAGCCGAACAUCCAAGCUACAAUCUACGCACAUCGAAUAAACUCGUUCCAAUUAAUUGUCGGACAAAUCGCUUCAAAAAUUCGUACAUUCCCUCGUCUGUAACGAUUUAUAAUAAACAUUGAGUAACUAUAAAUUACAUACAUUUUUAUUUGUAAAUAAUGGUAAUAUCAUACUAGAAGUUCUAAACUCUUCCUAUAUUAUAGUAAAUACGUUUUUGUAAAUAUACAAUAUUUUUCUAAUCAACCAACCCUG